CUUAAAUGAAUUGACGGGACCCGCACAAGCGGUGGAUGAUGUGGUUUAAUUCGAUGCAACGCGAAAACCUUACCACCUUUGACAUGUACGGAACCCUUUAGAGAUAGAGGGGUGCUCGAAAGAGAGCCGUAACACAGGUGCUGCAUGGCUGUCGUCAGCUCGUGUCGUGAGAUGUUGGGUUAAGUCCCGCAACGAGCGCAACCCUUGUCAUUAGUUGCUACAUUCAGUUGGGCACUCUAAUGAGACUGCCGGUGACAAGCCGGAGGAAGGUGGGGAUGACGUCAAGUCCUCAUGGCCCUUAUAGGUGGGGCUACACACGUCAUACAAUGGCUGGUACAAAGGGUUGCCAACCCGCGAGGGGGAGCCAAUCCCAUAAAGCCAGUCGUAGUCCGGAUCGUAGUCUGCAACUCGACUACGUGAAGUCGGAAUCGCUAGUAAUCGUGGAUCAGAAUGUCACGGUGAAUACGUUCCCGGGUCUU
rnacentral:rRNA from 1 species